rnacentral:lncRNA from 1 species
CUAACACAGGCACCGACUGCACCAAGCAGGAUUCUGGAAGCUGAGGUUACAGUGGAGAAGGAAACAGGUUUCAUGCUGAGAUGUCAUCCUCGGUGUUGGAGAUGGAACCUGGUGGGAGGUGUUUUGGUCUUGGGGGUGGAUCUCUCAGGGCUUGUUGCUGUCCUUGAGAUAGUGAGUGCCAUGGAAUCUGUGAAAGGAGGUAGAAAGUCCAGAUCUGGCCGGGCACAGUGGCUCAUGCCUGUAAUACCAGCGGAGCAGCUGCUCUGUCCUAUAAGGUGGCGUAAGUAUGGAGAACAGGCCCAGACUCUUCCUAACAGCCCACGGGAGCCAGCAGGAGCCAGCAGGAGGCCAGUGGGGAUGGAGAGAGGAUGGCACAAAGGGACGGCAAGGUCCGGCAGGGGUUGGGAACACUGAGGCAGCCGCAGACUCUACAAGGUCUCC